rnacentral:rRNA from 1 species
GGGUGCGAUCAUACCAGCACUAAUGCACCGGAUCCCAUCAGAACUCCGCAGGUCUGCGUGCUUGGGCGAGAUAGUACUAGGAUGGGUGACCUCAUGGAAGUCCUCGUGUUGCACCCC